rnacentral:rRNA from 1 species
AUUGAACGCUGGCGGCAUGCCUUACACAUGCAAGUCGAACGGCAGCACGGGUGCUUGCACCUGGUGGCGAGUGGCGAACGGGUGAGUAAUAUAUCGGAACGUACCUUAUUGUGGGGGAUAACGCAGCGAAAGCUGUGCUAAUACCGCAUAAACCCUAAGGGGGAAAGCGGAGGACCGUAAGGCCUCGCGCAAUUAGAGCGGCUGAUACCUGAUUAGCUAGUUGGUGAGGUAAAGGCUCACCAAGGCAACGAUCAGUAGCUGGUCUGAGAGGACGAUCAGCCACACUGGGACUGAGACACGGCCCAGACUCCUACGGGAGGCAGCAGUGGGGAAUUUUGGACAAUGGACGCAAGUCUGAUCCAGCCAUUCCGCGUGCAGGACGAAGGCCUUCGGGUUGUAAACUGCUUUUGUACAGAACGAAAAGGUCUCUAUUAAUACUAGGGGCUCAUGACGGUACUGUAAGAAUAAGCACCGGCUAACUACGUGCCAGCAGCCGCAGUAA